UAUAUGCCCAGGAUGGGGCUGAAUAAAAAGCUAAUAAUAAUAGCCACCACCUGUGGAGAGCUUCUCUUGGACCACGCAUUCUGCUAAGUCCUUCUCUUGUAUGAGGACCAGUUGUGCCCAGAGAACCUUCUCUGUCUCCUCUAACCAUGGGAUAAAAGGAGAUUUCCACAAGAGCGGCUCAGGGACGCAGCCCAUCUCUUAAGAAGGAGGCUCUGAGAGGGACAAGACCAUGGAUGCAGCACAUGGCCACAAGGCAGUUUCAAGAUGCCCAUGUCAGGCAGAGGAUGGCUCAGUGGUCUCUAACCCACCUAACAUUUCAUGAACUUUACUCCUGGUCCCGCUCCCAAAUUAGACACUGGAGAUAAUGGAUCACUAUACUGCACUGAAGACUCGGAGGGGUUGAGCCGCUGGAGCCACGCAAAUUCAGACACCUCUUCCGCCCCAGGUCACUCUACUCGCCCACGCUGCCUGCCACACCCAUCCGGUUGUGCGGGACACUCCCCGCGUUUCUUCAGCGAUUCUUAUCGGGCUCCCUCCUUGUUCAAUAAAGGUGAAGGGUGUGGGGUUUUCUGUGCAUACGCUCAGGAAGUUGAGUCCCGGUGAAACGUGUCAGGUUGCCAUUUCCCAGGCUGGAAAGAUUUUCCCAGGACGGGUAUGAAUAGACGAUGAAAGUGCACACUCUUACCCGGCUGCCCGACCCAGGUGCCAGGCUUCUGACUCAGGACCAUCUGUGGGUGCGAGUGCAGGGAGGUGUCAUUUCUGAGCAGGGAAGGUGUGAUCUGGGGCCAGAAUGAAUGGCCCUGGUGACUUCUUACCUGAUUCAUCCCACACCAGUCAGAAGGGGCUGUGAAGGCAGCAGCGAAGGAGCCACACAUGGACGUGGAAUGGGCACGCUGACCAUCAUGGUCACGACUGCAAGAAAGCAGGGCUGCGUGGGUUAAUUGGCUGUGUCUGAGGGUCACCCCUGCACAAGGAGGAUGAUGACGACUGCCCUGUGCAACCCUGGGUCAUCUCAGGGGAGAGCCAUUCCCAGGUUCACAGCAAGCACUCUUUUACUCAGAUGGGCCACCUGCAUCAGGCCCCAAGGAAGCACUUAUUAGUAGAAGAAAAAAAACAAAAACCCAGAAAACAGCCAGUGAGACUAUUUUACAAACAAGCGAAGAGCAGCAACUGAAAGCAACAAUAACUACAACAUAAAUCCCUCUGCAAAUAUUUGGGAUUUCAUUUCCACUAAGGAUAAUGAUGGCGUAGAAGGCAUGUCUGUGGGAGUUAUGCACACAGGGAAAAAGGUGGUGAAAAUAAUCAACCAAAAAUAACAAAAUUCAAUUAAUCAAAACAGAACAAAAUAAAAUGAGCCAAACAGCAUAUCUGAAUAUAAGCAUAAUAAUUGUCGUUGGACAAACCUUUGUCAAAUCAAAUUGGCUUCUAGCACACGGGCUGAUACUUUGUGAUUCAAGUGGUGUUCUACCCACAUAAUUCAUUUAGUUGCAAAGAAUGUAACAAAUAAUGCAAUUAUUCCAGAGGAUCACGGUGAGACAUCUAUUUGGUGGUGCCUUAAGCAGAGUGCCCUGAUUCAGAAGAAUUAGACCAAUCUCUGGAUUCACAGCCACUCAUGAAAACUGUAGGCCGGGCACGGUGGCUCAUGCCUGUAAUCCCAGCACUUUGGGAGGCCAAGG
rnacentral:lncRNA from 1 species